GCUGGGUGUGAUGGUGCACACCUGUAAUCCCAGCUACUUGGGGGGCUGAGGCAGGAGAAUCGCUUGAGCCCAGGAGGCGGAGGUUGCAGUGAGCCGAGAUCGUGCCACUGCACUCCAGCCUGAGCAACACAGCGGGACUCUGUCUCAA
rnacentral:SRP_RNA from 1 species